UAGGGAAUCUUCGGCAAUGGGGGCAACCCUGACCGAGCAACGCCGCGUGAGUGAAGAAGGUUUUCGGAUCGUAAAGCUCUGUUGUAAGAGAAGAACGUGUGUGAGAGUGGAAAGUUCACACAGUGACGGUAACUUACCAGAAAGGGACGGCUAACUACGUGCCAGCAGCCGAGGUAAUACGUAGGUCCCGAGCGUUGUCCGGAUUUAUUGGGCGUAAAGCGAGCGCAGGCGGUUUAAUAAGUCUGAAGUUAAAGGCAGUGGCUUAACCAUUGUUCGCUUUGGAAACUGUUAAACUUGAGUGCAGAAGGGGAGAGUGGAAUUCCAUGUGUAGCGGUGAAAUGCGUAGAUAUAUGGAGGAACACCGGUGGCGAAAGCGGCUCUCUGGUCUGUAACUGACGCUGAGGCUCGAAAGCGUGGGGAGCAAACAGG
rnacentral:rRNA from 1 species